UACGUAGGGUGCGAGCGUUGUCCGGAAUUAUUGGGCGUAAAGAGCUCGUAGGCGGUGUGUCACGUCGGCCGUGAAAACCUGCAGCUUAACUGUGGGCGUGCGGUCGAUACGGGCAUCACUGGAGUUCGGCAGGGGAGACUGGGAUUCCUGGUGUAGCGGUGAAAUGCGCAGAUAUCAGGAGGAACACCGGUGGCGAAGGCGGGUCUCUGGGCCGAUACUGACGCUGAGGAGCGAAAGCGUGGGGAGCAAACAGG
rnacentral:rRNA from 1 species